rnacentral:misc_RNA from 1 species
GAUGAAGAACGCAGCGAAAUGCGAUAAUUAAUGUGAAUUGCAGAAUUUAGUGAAUCAUCGAGUCUUUGAACGCACAUUGCGCCUCAUGGUAUUCCGUGAGGCAUGCCUGUCUGAGCGUCAACAACACCACUCAAGCAUUGCUCUCUUGCUCUGCUUGGUCCAUGUCAGGGAAGCGGUUGGGCCUGUCCAACUGCCCCUUGAAAAGCAAUAGAUGGUCAGGUUGUCACCUUAAGCCAAACGUCAUAUGAUUCUUAUCGUUCGUUUGUCUAUCUGACUUCUUGACAGUUGUUGAACCCAACAGCACCAUGCUGUUUAUUCUGACUUGACCUCAGAUCAGGUAGGGAUACCAGCUGAACUUAAGCAUAUCAAUAAGCGGAGGA